AAUGAACGUUGGCGGCGUGGAUUAGGCAUGCAAGUCGAGCGAGAAUUCCCCGCAAGGGGAAGGACAGCGGCGAAAGGGAGAGUAACACGUGGAUACCUACCCUCGGGCCUGGGAUAGCUGCGGGAAACUGCAGGUAAUACCAGAUAACGUCCCCGGACCAAAGGUGUGAUUCCGUCCGAGGAGGGUCCGCGUCCUAUUAGCUUGUUGGUGGGUAACGGCCUACCAAGGCAAUGAUGGGUAUGGGGUGUGAGAGCAUGCCCCCACUCACUGGGGACUGAGACACUGCCCAGACACCUACGGGUGGCUG
rnacentral:rRNA from 1 species